rnacentral:lncRNA from 1 species
CAUGAAAUGAGAUUGCUUUCAUCGAUAAUACAAAAAAGAUUUGAAAGGAUUUUAUUUUGAAAAUAAAAAUCCUGGAAAUCUUGUUAGAAACUCACAUAGCAUCACACCCCGUACUGCCCUUACUCUAAACAAAUGAAUGACCACUUCAAUUUUUCUUACCCGCGAGCCACUAAGCGUGCGCUCUAGCAUAAUAGAAGCAACUGGCUGACGGC